UCAUAGGCUCUUUUCUAGAUACUUUCAGAGCCACACAGAACAUUCAAAACAGCAAUGU
rfam:Papio anubis isolate 1X1155 chromosome 5, whole genome shotgun sequence.